UACGGGGGGAGCAAGCGUUGUUCGGAAUUACUGGGCGUAAAGGGCGCGUAGGCGGCCUGUUAAGUCGAACGUGAAAUCCCCGGGCUCAACCCGGGAACUGCGUCCGAUACUGGCAGGCUUGAAUCCGGGAGAGGGAUGCGGAAUUCCAGGUGUAGCGGUGAAAUGCGUAGAUAUCUGGAGGAACACCGGUGGCGAAGGCGGGUCUCUGGGGCAGUAACUGACGCUGAGGAGCGAAAGCGUGGGGAGCGAACAGG
rnacentral:rRNA from 1 species